GUUGUUACGAUCUGCUGAGGGUAAGCCGUCCUUCGCCUCGAUUUCCCCAAUGGGUUCUCCGGAUUUCUGGAGACUUGUAGGGGUUGUGGGAUUUUUGAUGUGUCGUCUCCGGACGGGCGGUGCAGGGUAGUCGAGUUAGACUUGGUGGAAUUCCGUCGAUAGGAGUUCCGUCGAGUCUGGUCGGCUGUGUGUUGGACGGUGCAGGGUAGGCUGCUUGGACAUGGUCGGGUCGAGGGUCGAUUCGAGGGCCGGCCUGUCGAUGAUGUGUGAUGUAUGCGGUCUAGGGUAGGCUGGUUUGUCUUGGUCCAAUUUGAUGUCGGCUCCCGUGCAGGCCAGAGUGAGGGGGGUCCAGGGUAGGUACAGGGUAGGCAGCUUAGAUUUGGCCGAUCUGGAGGUCGAUUCUCCGGCCGGCGGAUCUGACACUGUCAAAACGAGGUGCGAGCGGUGUAGGGUAGGCUAGUUUCGUCCUCGCCAGGUUGCGAUUUGGACGAGAUAUGUGGUCUAGGGUAGGCUCUAGGGUAAGUAGAAUUCGAGUUUCGUCGCCGACAGUUUUCUGUGGGUGUGUGGUAGGUACAGGGUAGGCAAAUCUCCCUCCGGCCAGUACUUGUCUGGUUGGUCGUGAGUCGAUUUUUUUGUUUUGCCAUACUAUUGAAUUUUGCGGAAAUUCAAAAGUGGCUCGGGAGUCCCGCCUGGCGUGCGUCCGGCUCGAACAUCGUCGGUGUACAUAUGAGAGGGAGUAAUCCGGCCCGGCCGGGGCCCAUGGCGAGCUGCCGGGUAGGUAAAAGUAAAAAAGUUGUUAAGAGGCGCGGUGUCGGCGUGCUUGUAUUUGCGGGAGAGAAUUAUCUGGAGGUGCUGGGUAGCCGGGAAGACUUGGACGGAUCUGGCCCGGGAAUGGGUCUGGGCCUGGAUUCUGGUGUGGUGUAGGGUAGGCGUAGAUAGAUGAGUGGUCUAGGGUAGAUACAGGGUAGCCAGAAGUCUGGUAUAUAGUAUGGGGGUGUAGGGUAGGUCUGGACACCGGUUUCCACUUCGCCCUUCCCUUUACUCGAGGGAGGACGAUCUUGGCUGGGACGGAGGUGUAGGGUAGGCUUAAUUUACGAUUACAUGAUCUGUGUCACUCUAGGGUAGGUGAAAAUCCCAUAUACAUAUGAUCACAUUUGGUGAAGAGGUGGUUUGGCUGGUGAGAUGGACAAAAGUGCAAUAUAGAAUUAUAUGUGAUUUUGCAAAAGUGGGUGUGAAAUUGGGAAAUCGGUUUUCCCGCACAGAUGAGAGCACGUUUGAGGUGCCAUGAGAUGCACCUCUCCGAGACGACCUCAACGGUACCGCCGAUGUGUUGGUCGGGCUCCUGUGCGGCCGUCCAGGGCGGGAUAAGUAGAGAAUGUGGUGGUGUAGGGUAGGUGACCAGGUCCAGGGUAGGUUCGCCAAAUCCGUCAAUCCGGCUUGAAUCGAAGGACAGGUCUAGGGUAGGCCAGAGUCGGGUCUAGGGUAGGCAACCCUCACCCUCGAAGUGGUCUACCCGGUAGCCAACUUCAAUCGCCUCUCACGGCCGCCACGGACCUCGAAUGACGACGGGACUACCACCAUCGGAUUCGCCUUGGUCGAAAUAGCUGGUAUAUGCACUUUUGAAAAAAUGCGUGCAAAAUGGUUUUGUGGUUUGGUGGCCGUGAGUCGAUUUUUUUGUUUUCACAUACAAAUGAAUUUUGCGGAAAAUAAAAAGUGGCCCACGAGGCAGUCCUGGCGUGCGGCCCACUAAAACGGUCUCGGAGGGUAUAUGAGAAGGGAGCAAAUCCGGCCGAGCCUGAAAGGGUGAGGACAAACCGGGCGAGCAACCUCUCAGUAUCAGAUCUUGCAGACUUCCACUGCGUGUCCCUCUGUACAGCUUUGCAGGCUCCGGCCUCGGCAGCGGGGGGUUCAUAGUGGUCGUCGACCUCCACGAAACUGCACGCUCCGGCGUGACAGCGUACUGGGGAUGCCUGUGUAGAUGCAGUCCGGGCUUGCCUGGACCG
rnacentral:misc_RNA from 1 species